GGUGACUGCGUACCUUUUGUAUAAUGGGUCAGCGACUUAUAUUUAGUAGCAAGGUUAAGUGAAUAACGGAGCCGUAGCGAAAGCGAGUGUUAACUGCGCGUUUAGUUGCUAGGUAUAGACCCGAAACCCGGUGAUCUAGCCAUGGGCAGGUUGAAGGUUGAGUAACAUCAACUGGAGGACCGAACCCACUAACGUUGAAAAGUUAGGGGAUGACCUGUGGCUGGGGGUGAAAGGCCAAUCAAACCGGGAGAUAGCUGGUUCUCCCCGAAAUCUAUUUAGGUAGAGCCUCGGACGAAUUCCAUUGGGGGUAGAGCACUGUUAAGGCUAGGGGGUCAUCCCGACUUACCAACCCUUUGCAAACUCCGAAUACCAAUGAGAACUAUCCGGGAGACACACGGCGGGUGCUAACGUCCGUCGUGGAGAGGGAAACAACCCAGACCGCCAGCUAAGGUCCCAAAAUAUUGCUAAGUGGGAAACGAUGUGGGAAGGCAUAGACAGCUAGGAGGUUGGCUUAGAAGCAGCCACCCUUUAAAGAAAGCGUAAUAGCUCACUAGUCGAGUCGGCCUGCGCGGAAGAUGUAACGGGGCUAAGCAAUAUACCGAAGCUGCGGCAGCAUGUUUACAUGCUGGGUAGGGGAGCGUUGUGUAAGUGGAUGAAGGUGAGUUGUAAAGCUUGCUGGACAUAUCACAAGUGCGAAUGCUGACAUGAGUAACGAUAAUGGGAGUGAAAAACUCCCACGCCGGAAGACCAAGGUUUCCUGUCCCAUGCUAAUCAGGGCAGGGUAAGUCGGCCCCUAAGGCGAGGCAGAAAUGCGUAGUCGAUGGGAAACGGGUUAAUAUUCCCGUACUUAUAUAAUCAGUGAUGGAGGGACGGAGAAGGCUAGGCAAGCUUGGCGUUGGUUGUCCAAGUGAAAGUGAGUAGGCUGAAGACUUAGGUAAAUCCGGGUUUUCAAGGCCGAGACACGAGACGAGCUCCCAAGGGAGUGAAGUUGUUGAUGCCCUGCUUCCAGGAAAAGCUUCUAAACUUAUGAUUAUAUGAACCGUACCCCAAACCGACACAGGUGGUCAGGUAGAGAAUACUAAGGCGCUUGAGAGAACUCGGGUGAAGGAACUCGGCAAAAUUGUACCGUAACUUCGGGAGAAGGUACGCCUCUGUUUGUGAACACUUCGCGUGGUAAGCAAAUGGAGGCCGCAGUGACCAGGUGGCUGGGACUGUUUAUUAAAAACACAGCACUCUGCAAACUCGUAAGAGGACGUAUAGGGUGUGACACCUGCCCGGUGCCGGAAGGUUAAUUGAUGGGGUUAGUUUUCGGACGAAGCUCUUGAUCGAAGCCCCGGUAAACGGCGGCCGUAACUAUAACGGUCCUAAGGUAGCGAAAUUCCUUGUCGGGUAAGUUCCGACCUGCACGAAUGGUGUAACCAUGGCCACGCUGUCUCCACCCGAGACUCAGUGAAAUUGAAAUCGCAGUGAAGAUGCUGUGUACCCGCACCUAGACGGAAAGACCCCGUGAACCUUUACUACAGCUUGGCACUGAACAUUGAACCUACAUGUGUAGGAUAGGUGGGAGGCUUUGAAGCACAGUCGCUAGAUUGUGUGGAGCCGUCCUUGAAAUACCACCCUUGUAUGUUUGAUGUUCUAACAUUGUUCCCUUAUCGGGAAUGUGGACAGUGUCUGGUGGGUAGUUUGACUGGGGCGGUCUCCUCCCAAAUAGUAACGGAGGAGCACGAAGGUUAGCUAAUCACGGUCGGACAUCGUGAGGUUAGUGCAAUGGCAUAAGCUAGCUUAACUGCGAGACAGACACGUCGAGCAGGUACGAAAGUAGGUCA
rnacentral:rRNA from 1 species